GGCGAUGGUCAAAUGGUCAUCAUGGUGGACUUUGAACCCUUCUGUCCCAGGUUCGAGUCCUGGUGCCA
rnacentral:tRNA from 1 species